ensembl:rRNA 5S_rRNA 5S ribosomal RNA
GCUUACGGCCAUACCACCCUGAGAACGCCCGAUCUCGUCUGAUCUCGGAAGCUAAGCAGGGUCGGGCCUGGUUAGUACUUGGAUGGGAGACCACCUGGGAAUACCAAGUGCUGUAAGCU